CUAAGAAUCUUCCGCAAUGGGGGAAACCCUGACGGAGCGACGCCGCGUGGACGAAGAAGGCCGCAAGGUUGUAAAGUCCUUUUGCAGGCGAAGAAUAAGCAGGGGAGUGGAACGCUCCUGCGAUGACGUUAGUCUGCGAAUAAGCCCCGGCCAAUUACGUGCCAGCAGCCGCGGUAACACGUAUGGGGCGAGCGUUGUUCGGAAUUACUGGGCAUAAAGGGCGUGUAGGCGGUUCGGGAAGCCUGGCGUGAAAGGCACCGGCUCAACCGGUGGAUGGCGCUGGGAACUGUCGGACUGGAGUUCUGGAGGGGGAGCUGGAAUUCCUGGUGUAGGGGUGAAAUCUGUAGAGAUCAGGAAGAACACCGGUGGCGAAGGCGAGCUCCUGGCCAGUGACUGACGCUGAGGCGCGAAAGCGUGGGGAGCAAACAGGAUUAGAUACCCUGGUAGUCCACGCUGUAAACGAUGUGCACUAGGUGUUGGUGCCGUACGGGCAUCGGUGCCGUAGCUAAGGCGUUAAGUGCACCGCCUGGGGAGUAUGCUCGCAAGGGUG
rnacentral:rRNA from 1 species